GGACAGAGUCUCCCCUAUAUAUGCACGGCGUAGGAGCACAAAAACGUAACAACAAGCAAUCAAAAUAAGGUAGUUUAAUUAUACAACUGCUAAUAAAUCCAAAACCAUAAUUCAAAAUCUACUAAACCACUCCAGUAGGAAAACACAAAUGCAAACUAAACUUAAAUCACAAUCACAUAAAUCCCUACAUAAUAGCAACAGAAUGAAGUAAUUGACUGCCCGAAUUACUCCUUAGUCGCAUAGCUCCCGUCUCUCGCUUGAGAGAUUCACGCUCCUCCCACGUGAAGGCAUUACCUUGCUCCACCCACAA
rnacentral:lncRNA from 1 species